rnacentral:rRNA from 1 species
GGGAGGCAGCAGUAGGGAAUCUUCCACAAUGGACGAAAGUCUGAUGGAGCAACGCCGCGUGAGUGAAGAAGGGUUUCGGCUCGUAAAACUCUGUUGUUAAAGAAGAACAUAUCUGAGAGUAACUGUUCAGGUAUUGACGGUAUUUAACCAGAAAGCCACGGCUAACUACGUGCCAGCAGCCGCGGUAAUACGUAGGUGGCAAGCGUUGUCCGGAUUUAUUGGGCGUAAAGCGAGCGCAGGCGGUUUUUUAAGUCUGAUGUGAAAGCCUUCGGCUCAACCGAAGAAGUGCAUCGGAAACUGGGAAACUUGAGUGCAGAAGAGGACAGUGGAACUCCAUGUGUAGCGGUGAAAUGCGUAGAUAUAUGGAAGAACACCAGUGGCGAAGGCGGCUGUCUGGUCUGUAACUGACGCUGAGGCUCGAAAGUAUGGGUAGCAAACAGGAUUAGAUACCCUGGUAGUCCAUACCGUAAACGAUGAAUGCUAAGUGUUGGAGGGUUUCCGCCCUUCAGUGCUGCAGCUAACGCAUUAAGCAUUCCGCCUGGGGAGUACGGCCGCAAGGCUGAAACUCAAAGGAAUUGACGGGGGCCCGCACAAGCGGUGGAGCAUGUGGUUUAAUUCGAAGCUACGCGAAGAACCUUACCAGGUCUUGACAUACUAUGCAAAUCUAAGAGAUUAGACGUUCCCUUCGGGGACAUGGAUACAGGUGGUGCAUGGUUGUCGUCAGCUCGUGUCGUGAGAUGUUGGGUUAAGUCCCGCAACGAGCGCAACCCUUAUUAUCAGUUGCCAGCAUUAAGUUGGGCACUCUGGUGAGACUGCCGGUGACAAACCGGAGGAAGGUGGGGAUGACGUCAAAUCAUCAUGCCCCUUAUGACCUGGGCUACACACGUGCUACAAUGGAUGGUACAACGAGUUGCGAACUCGCGAGAGUAAGCUAAUCUCUUAAAGCCAUUCUCAGUUCGGAUUGUAGGCUGCAACUCGCCUACAUGAAGUCGGAAUCGCUAGUAAUCGCGGAUCAGCAUGCCGCGGUGAAUACGUUCCCGGGCCUUGUACACACCGCCCGUCACACCAUGAGAGUUUGUAACACCCAAAGUCGGUGGGGUAACCUUUUAGGAACCAGCCGCCUAAGGUGGGACAGAUGAUUAG